CCUACGGGAGGCAGCAGUGAGGAAUUUUCUGCAAUGGGCGAAAGCCUGACAGAGCAAUACCGCGUGAGGGAAGAAGGCUUACUGAGUUGUAAACCUCGGUGCCUUAAGGAAGAAGAUCUGACGGUACUUAAGGUGGAAAGCAUCGGCUAACCCCGUGCCAGCAGCCGCGGUAAGACGGGGGAUGCAAGUGUUAUCCGGAAUCACUGGGCGUAAAGCGUCUGCAGGUGGUUUCCUAAGUCCACUGUUAAACCUUGAGGCUCAACCUCAAAUCUGCAGUGGAAACUAGGGAACUUGAGGAUAGUAGGGGUAGAGGGAAUUUCCAGUGGAGCGGUGAAAUGCGUAGAUAUUGGAAAGAACACCGAUGGCGAAGGCACUCUACUGGGCUAUGACUGACACUCAGAGACGAAAGCUAGGGGAGCAAAUGGGAUUAGAUACCCCAGUAGUCCUAGCCGUAAACGAUGGAUACUCGAUGUUGGACGUAUCGACCCGUUCAGUAUCUUAGCUAACGCGUUAAGUAUCCGCAUGGGACA
rnacentral:rRNA from 1 species